rnacentral:tRNA from 3 species
CGGGAUGUAGCGCAGUGGUAGCGCACCACGUUCGGGACGUGGGGGUCGUUGGUUCAAGUCCAAUCAUCCCGACCA